rnacentral:lncRNA from 1 species
UGCUUUCCUAGAAGUCAGUGUCUUGUCCUGGGCUGUUGCUUUUCUGCUUGACUCCCUCUGUGGGCCGUGGACUCUGCGGCAGAGUCCUAUCUGCAGGGCUUCUGCAUGGUUAUCCAUUGUCUUCUGAAGAAAUGAUGAUGUUAGUGAUGGAGCCACUUUGGUUAGCGUUUUGUUAAGUAUGAACUUGUGAAUCCUUCCCACAGCUGUGCAAUAUUAUUACCUCCAGGGCACAGCAUCUGGACUUUAAUUGAUGAUGAGUGUAUGUGGCCCCAAGGGACAUGGGGCCUCGAAAUUAAGGAAGGAGCUGGAAGUAGUGGACAAGCAGCAGCACCACCACGUGGAAAGGUGAAAAGUUGGAUAAGGACUGGCUGAGAAAAUGCCAUCAGAAUAGCAAGAGGGGGUCAUUGUUGAAGAGCACAGCUUCAGGCAAGUCUUUGAAAUCAAAGCCAGAUUUCAAGGAAGUCGGAAGGAGCAGAUGGAGAGGAAGUGGAGAGAUUUCCAUAUGGUGCGUGUAUUUUUUUUUUUAAUUAAGGAUUUUGGUGUUAAAUGGAAGUGGUACUUGAUGGCCUAGCAGGAUGAAACAAAGUUUGUUUCUAAAGAUAGAGGGACAUGGGCUCACUUUUAAAGAGAAAGAAAGUAGGUGGCCAUUGAGUUAUGAGAGGUUGAGAAGCCGGAGAUGGUGGGCCCAGAGACCCACAGAGCAGGCUCUUUGAGAGCAGCAGGUCUUCCUGCUCAGGGCCUUGCUGGUGCUGUCACGAGCCAUAUCCCCUGGCCUCCUGCUUUGCUUCUGGGCUGUCAUCAAUCUGUUUUGUGGUGUUCUCUGAGAAAUGAAAUUAAAUCCUAAGCUCCCAGCCAAAUGAAUGGACCCCCUCUUGGCCAAGGGGCACCCAAAGAAACCUUAGAACUGAGUCCUGGCUGUGACAGGAGGGGAAACACGCCUCAUGAGACCCCCACCUCGCUGACCACCAUCAGGCUCUCCUCCCUGCGGGCUAGAAGCUCCAUACUCAUUUCAGCAACGGCCUGAUGCUGUCCCUCCCUUUUGUGGUUUUGACCAAACAACUAACCAGCAUUCUCUUCCUGAUACAAAGCCGCUGACCUUGGAGUGGUUCUGGUGAGUCUACAGAGGAGGCUCAGUGAGGGUUCUUGUGUCCUCUGCUUCACCUUUUGAUGUCACAUGGCUAAAAACUCCAUCCUUGGAUCAUGCUCAUGCCACCAUUUUUUAAACAUGGGUCCCACAGACAGAGAGGCAUGAAGCUCAGUGUGCAUGUGCCUGUUUCUCCUUUCAUAAAUAUUCAUGACUCCUCCUAGAGCUCAUUGAAUAUGCAUAUUUGGCAGCCCCAUUCAGCAUAAAUCCCUGUCUUAUUCUUCCCACCCUUGAAGUGCCUGUUUCUGGCUUCUGGCCGGAGGCUACACUUCCCAGCCUGUCAGAAGAGCCACCUGCAGGCUGCAGCCCUUUCUGAGAAAUAAUGCCCUCCUUUCCAAAUGCAUGAACUUCAUCAUUCUUCAGCUGAUAUGUCCUUAUCCCAUGUAGAAGGAAGGAUCUUAGUGUUUAUUGAGCGUCAACUUUGUAUAAGGCUCUGGGCUAUCUUAUAUGAUUGUCACAAUAAUUUUAGAAUAUAUUAAUGUGUUCAUUUAUACCUUUAAUUUUUAAAAUUUGCGUUUUUAGUCAAGCAGCUCAAAAAACAUAUAAAAAGAUGUUUAUUGAAAAGUUUCCCUCCUAUGCCUAUUCUCCAUCCAUCCAGUUCUCCCACUUCCCAAUAUUUAGUUGUUUUUAUUAUUUUCUUGUGGACACAUUCCAAAAUUUUAAGCAUAUAAAAUAAACAUAAAAAUAUUAUUUAUCUUUUAUGUAUAAGUUGUGGAGUCUAUAUACACUGUUUUACACCUUGCUUUGUUUCACUUAAAGUUUACCUUGGAAAUCCUCACAUAUCAGUUCACAGAGAGCAGCCUCAUUCUGUUUUACAGUUGCAUAGUUUUGACUGGAUUGAAUGGAUACACCAGAUUUUUUAACCCUGUGUUGUAUAGAUAGAUGUUUGAGUAGUUUGCAGUCAUUAUAUAUUAUGUACACAUAUUUUCCCGCAUGUGAAAAUGCAUUUGUAGGAUACAUUCCCAGAAGUGAAGUUGCUGGGUUAAGGGUAUAUUUAUUUGCAGUUUUGAGUGAUUAUUACUGAGGCCCAUCUUUAGGCUUGCACCAGUUCACACAAUCAUCAGCAACAUACUAGAGGCCUGUUUCUCUGCAUCUUUGCCAACAGAGCAUGUUAUCAGUUUUUUAAAGGUUUCUGUCAGCCUACUAGGAAAAAAAGUAAUAGAGUUAUUUUAAUUUGCAUUUAUUUUUAUUAUGAGUGAGGUUGUCUUUCCACAGGUUUAUGAGCUGUUUGUAUUUCAUUUUCUUUUACUGUCUGGUCUUAUUCCUUUCCUCUUUUCUGGCCAGAUCAUUGGUCAUCUUGUAGAUGAUGUGGUCAAAUCUAUCAGUCUUUCCUUUUGUGACUUCUGCAUUUACAGUUACAGUUAGGGAGCAUCUUUCAAAAUUAUAAAGGAAUUCUUCCAGGUAUUCUAUUACUUUUAGAAAGUCAUUUUUUUCAAACAAGACAAAAUACCCAAAUCGUUUAUCUUUGAAAUUUAUCCUGCUGUGGUAUGAGUUACGGAUCCAAUUUUCUCCCCUAAAUGUUACCAAUUCCAAUAUCAUUUAUUGCCUAAUCUGUCUUUUACUCACUGAUUUGAAAUGCUGCCUUUACCAUACACUGAAUUUCUGUUUGCAUUUGGGUCUAGUUUUAGAUUCAUUAUUCUGAUUAAUUGGCCUGACUUCUUGUUAUUUUAACCAUUAUUCUUUUAAUUAGUCUAUUAAUUUUUGAGGCUUUCUACAUGUAUCCUUAUCUGAUGUAACUUCCACUCCCUCCAAUUUUUUUUUUUUUUGAGAC